UACGAAGGGGGCUAGCGUUGUUCGGAAUUACUGGGCGUAAAGCGCGCGUAGGCGGUUUUCCAAGUCGGGCGUGAAAGCCCCGGGCUCAACCCGGAAAAUGCGCUCGAAACUUGAAGACUGGAGGCCGGAAGAGGGUAGUGGAAUUCCCAGUGUAGAGGUGAAAUUCGUAGAUAUUGGGAAGAACACCAGUGGCGAAGGCGGCUACCUGGUCCGGAUCUGACGCUGAGGCGCGAAAGCGUGGGGAGCAAACAGG
rnacentral:rRNA from 1 species